UUUAAAUAUUUACCCUGCCACGUUGUUUUUUUUGCCGGCGAAAAAACAACAUGGUGCUUGUUUUGUUUUGUCAUAGUGAAGUUUGAUGUAACCCCAUGCUUUCUGACAUGAGCCCACCCUGAAGAAGAUGGAGCAAAGACAAAAAUCAGUUAUGACAAUGUUAUGCCAAAAGAUGACUUAAAGGGGCAUCUGGAGUAAAAAGACAGACUACUGAUUCUUCAAAUGACCAUGAGAACAGUUGUAAAUUGUUAAUGAAAGAAGAGGAAGAAGUGGAUGGACAGGAAUCAGACUAAAACAAUUAUGCAUAUAUGUUGAAUGUAACAAUUGUUUUUUUUUUAAUUAUGCCAAUUUAUAAAGAUAAGACCUGAUUUGUAUAUACAUAUAUGCAUGAUAAAGAUAAAUACACCAUAAAAAUAUUUAAUUUUGCUUUAUUCUUUUGCAGGAAACCAAGUAUGAAAUUGAGAGGGUUUCAGUAUUUCUAGCAUAUUAUAGUAUUCAUUUAUACUUGGGAUUGGUAUACAACUAUACAAACAACUGAUCAAGCAGAA